UUAUCACGAUUCUUUCCAAAU
rnacentral:piRNA from 1 species